GGACAGAUAUAUGUAGAAGAAUGAAACUCGACCAUUCUCUUAUACCAUACACAAAGAUAAUCUCGAAUUGGAUAAAAGACCUCAACAUGAGGCAGGAACCCAUCAGAAACUAGAGG